CACAAUAAAAUAUGAAGGCUGUACGCGGCUGUGCUCUCGGGCCAGUUUUGCGGAGGCUGAAUUAUUUAUUACCCUUGUCUUUUGCGCACUUGUUGUUUCCUGGGCGGGUUCGCCCUGCCACCAGGACCACAUCAUAAACCUUUUUUAUGCAGUUGCAAUCAGCGUCAGUAUAAUCAAAUGUAAAUCAUUUA
rnacentral:misc_RNA from 1 species